rnacentral:rRNA from 1 species
UACGAAAGGGGCUAGCGUUGUUCAGAAUUACUGGGCGUAAAGCGCACGUAGGCGGCCUUGUAAGUUGGGGGUGAAAUCCCCGGGCUCAACCCGGGAACUGCCUUCAAGACUGCAAAGCUCGAGGAUGCGAGAGGUUAGCGGAAUUCCGAGUGUAGAGGUGAAAUUCGUAGAUAUUCGGAAGAACACCAGUGGCGAAGGCGGCUAACUGGCGCAUUUCUGACGCUGAGGUGCGAAAGCGUGGGGAGCAAACAGG